rnacentral:rRNA from 1 species
CGCAGCCGCGGUAAUUCCAGCUCCAAUAGCGUAUAUUAAAGUUGUUGCAGUUAAAAAGCUCGUAGUUGAAUUUCGGGAUCAGUACGCUGGUCGUGCCUUCGGUAUGCACUGGUUUCACUGAUUCCUCCCUUCUGAAGAACCGUAAUGCCAUUCAGUUGGUGUGGCGGGGAAUCAGGAUUGUUACUUUGAAAAAAUUAGAGUGUUUAAAGCAGGCUCGCGCUUGAAUACAUUAGCAUGGAAUAAUGAAAUAGGACGUUUGAUCCUAUUUUGUUGGUUUCUAGGAUUGACGUAAUGAUUAAUAGGGAUAGUUGGGGGCAUUAGUAUUCAAUUGUCAGAGGUGAAAUUCUUGGAUUUAUUGAAGACUAACUACUGCGAAAGCAUUUGCCAAGGAUGUUUUCAUUAAUCAAGAACGAAAGUUAGGGGAUCGAAGACGAUCAGAUACCGUCGUAGUCUUAACCAUAAACUAUGCCGACUAGGGAUCGGAUGAUGUUAAUUUUUUAAUGACUCAUUCGGC